GUGUGUGUGUGUGUGUUCAGUUUAAAGGCAGUUCAUUAACGAGCGUCACGCGGUUUUUAUUUGCAGUUUUUAUUAGCCGAUAAACUCCCAGACACAUAAUAUUCACCCCGCCACUCGGGCUUUGUGUUUAAAUAUUUAAUGAAGUAACAUGAGCACACUCCUGUUCCUGUAACAAACAGGAUUAUAUAAUAAUGUGUGUACCUAAAAUCCAAUUACUUUUCCUUUCGCCUAUAUAUUUACUCUUCUUGUCUUUCCUUCUCUUCCUCUUUAUUUUCUCCUCUCUCUUUCCUCCUCUUCAGUUUCUUCUCCUAUGUAUUGUUAUUGAUCAUAAAUUUAAUUGAGUAUUGAUUGUUAACAAUAACAGUUUUCUAACAAUUCUUUGCUGUGAAGCUCCGUCCAACAGCACCACCUGCAGGCCACUAGUGGUAUUAAAAGCAGACACGUUUUCAUGUAGUUUUCUUGCUGAAGCUGAAAAUCAAACUAAUUAAAGUUUGAAUUUGUGUCUCAGAGUUUCCUCUUUCACAGUUAUUUAAUCCAUUAACGCAGGAGCCAGAGAAGCUGGGGGAAAAAAAACAAAAAUACGAGGGAAAAAGAGUUGAAAUAUGAGGAAUACACCUUUUUAAAUCAUAGAAACACCUUUGCUUCCAUGUCACAAUCAUCACACUCGCUAUUUAAAUGAUUUAUAUUAUCAAAUCCAUUAAAUCACUCAUAUUAGAAAGGAAAAACCUGUAAAAUAGCCUUUCAAACUUGGAGAAUAAGUCCUUAAAGUGCUCUGUUCAAAGAAAUUUGAACAUCUACAAUAAAUCUAUAUAUGAUAUUAUACUAAAACUAAUUAAUCAUGCAACAAUGCAACAAUAAUACUUAUAUUAAUGGUUAAUUUAUAUAAUGGUGUUUCACUCUGACUUAUUAACUGGUAGCCAAUGUAAAAGCAAACAAAUAGCCUAAAGAUAAACCUUAUUGCUCCUUUUAAUAGAACAGAACGCAACUUUAUUGUCACUUUAUUGAGUGGAAAAUUGUCUUUAGCUCACCAAAACAACAAAAAAUACAAACAAAAUACCUAAAACAAAGCAUAAAACAUUAAAACAUUGUGGAGCAAGAAUUCAGUUUUAGUUUAAAAUGCUCUUCUGCCAGUUUGUUAAACUGAAAUCACGAGUGUUUAAGGGUUUUACAGGUUUAAGUUCACAGCUUUUGCAUCUCUACUCCUGUUUUGUUUUUUUUAUUUUCCUUCCUUCUGUUGUUGCUCUGCUUCAGUUUGCCGUCGUGGUUCACUCCAUUUAAUCAUAACGUCGCCGCAAGUACCAGAAGUCCUGAGUGACUCAAGCCUUAAACGAAUCCCAGACACCUUGGCAAGACGUCGGUAUCCAAACCGUCACCGGCUCGGAGAAGGAGGCCCAGAGGAACAAUCUGGCGUCUGGGGUCGAAGGCCGAGAGGUAGCUUUGCAGUUGAAACUAAAACCAGCAGGACCACACACACACGCCGAGAUCAUCCGUCUUUUAGUGAAAGUCUGGCAGCACCAACAGCACCGAAAUUAAGCUUUGGACGGAGUUGACCUCUGUUAGGUGACGGUUUACCGGGAAAGUAUUACUCAUCACGACUGUGACUCUUCAAACCCCCGAUGACUGGAUCAAGAAGACAGAUAGAAGAAAAACAAACGUCUUGUACUUUUUCCACUCUGAUGCAUCCUGUCACUGGUGACGCAGGACAACAGGAGCUUCGCCACAUCAGGGCGCUUCAGUCACCUUCUCUAUGAUGUUGCUGUCAGCAUCUCAUCCCGUCCAUCGGUAUCUUGCUGCUCUCUGUGUCGUAUUGCCAUCAGCUCCUGCAUCCUGUUGCUCACCUUGUUGCUGCGUUGCCAGUGUCUGCCAGGGCUCACUGUUGUCCAGGUAGCGUUUCGCUGUCAUUAGGUCAUGUGUCUUGUUGCUGGAAUCAAUAGUAGUAUGUCACUGCUAUUAUUUUGAUCUCUUUGCUUUUAUUUCAGAAAAAAAAGCCACAUUUUACUUUCUGUACACACUUCUUCACUGCUGCUGAGAUAUAAAAUACAUUUUUAUAUCAAAUAUAAAUAAAAAUAUGAAUGGAGUUAUUUGGAUGUAUGGCCUUUUAAUAAUCUAUAUGUCACACAUCUGUUUCUUUAAAGUAUGUACUCUAUGUUUUUUGUAUAUUCUGUACAUUAGAAGUGUGAGACACUUUGAAACACAGGUGUCUGUUUUCCCCAAUUAGACCCUCAAAUGCACUAAAGAAACAACUGCAGUACAUCUUUCUGACCACGAGAUGGAGCAGUUUAAAUUCAUCAUACAGUGCUGAGGCACUAAAAUCACACAAAAAUAAAGGUAACUGUAAACUUUAUUCUUAUAAAUUGUUAGUUAAAACUACUCAGGAAGAGAUUUUAAUGAGAAAAUGUGUAAACAAAUAUGUAAAACAGAUAUGACAGGAUAGUAUUCUUCUUCCACUCUAUUUCUAGCUGUAGAAAACAAUUAAUUAUUGCAACUAAGUAUUGACUUUCUCUUUGGUGUUUUGGACCUCUAAAAGCCUUUUCAUCUCGUAUUUUAUCAUCUUUUCUUUCUAUUUAAAAAAAAAAAAAACAAAAAAAGAUGCUCUGAUAGUAAAAAAAAAAAAAAGCUGAACAAACUGUUGAACAGUUGAAUUCAGGCAGGAAAAUUACCAGAUAAACUCUCCUGGCCAAGUGUUUCCACACAGAUUAUUCCUCACAGCUGAUUCAUAACAAUGUGGUAUGUUAGUCAGAGUCACUCACUGUUAUGAGCUUAAAAUAUUGCAAACAACCAGGGUGGAAAAUCACCAGCAGCCAGUAAAUGUUUACCAGCGUCUGGUAAGUUAGUUAGUUUGGCCUCGCUGCCUCUUUGGCAGGAAGUUUGUUCGGCUGCAGAAAUCAGAUUCGUCUGGUGGAAGAGUCACAGGAGCUGUGAAGCUUUAGAAACCAGCAGCAUCUGAGUCGGCAGGUGGAGUGUUUAACAUGUGAUUCAGUACAUGAGACAUGUAUGUAAUAAGCCUGCAGAAGAUUGUGAAAUGGUGAAAAUUAGAGGCAAAAGAUUUCUCUACAAAUUACAAAUGACUUCAUAUUUAACGGGAAAUGCCACUGGUUAUUCUGCACAAGCUGAUAUGUUCUUUUAAGUGUUUAAAGUUAUUGAAAGCUGCACUGGGUGUAUUUAAACAAACCAUCUUGGGAGAAUCAGUCAGAAAGGGUGAAAAGUGCUGCAGAUUCUCAAUUUCUGGAAGUUAAGUUCUGCUCUCAGGACGUCACUGGUGGGAACGACAGACUCAGUGCUACAACUCGACUUUUUUCUGCCAGUUAUAAGCUUUUAUCAGCGUCAGGUAUCUACAUUGUUUACUCAUCAGGAACCAAACUGAGAAAGUGGCAUGCUUAUGCCCCCUGGAGGAUUUUGCCACUGUGGCAGAUAUGAUUCAGCCUGGGAUUUGAAUAAAGUGGUGGAUGUUUUUGAACGGAGUAAGACGUGAAACAAAAAUCAGCUGGUUUAAAGAUCAAUAGCAGUGUGUGUUUGUGGUAUGUUUAGUUGUGUUACAGGUGGGCAGACUUUUUGAUCACUGCUGAGCAAUAAAAAUCAGGUAAUGUAUAAUGUCAUACCAAAUUUCAGUGAGGUGUUUGGCAGCUGCAGCAUAAUUCAAGUUCUCUCGUGGUCCCUCGUGUAUGUUUUGAGUCUUUUUAGAUGUUUCCCCUGACAAAUAGUCACAUUAGCAAGAGCUGUUAUGUGAAUAUCGACAUUAGAAAUUGGUUCAGCAAGAAAUCUUUCAUGAGGGUUAUGUUUUAUCCAACAAUGUCACUGAAAUGAAAUGGCCGGUGCUGCUUUACAGGGAAAGUGACAUUAUUCUGGGAAGUGAAGCCUCACGUGUCAAACAGUUAUAUCUUGCUGCUGUUUGGUGGCAGCAAUGUGCAAAGUUGCUUCGUGCAGCUUUGGGAAAUUGGUUACUUUGGAAAAAUGAUAUUUUGAUUUUGAAUGAAAAU